rnacentral:lncRNA from 1 species
UAGGGUUUGCACUUCCUUUGUGAGGAUCUGAGGAUCUUUGGAGCUGCUGAAAAGAUGGUAUUGAGUUUGUUAUCCUGUUGUCUCACGAGUCGGGUUCUUGUCCCUGUCUUAUGUUUCUAUGGGUAGAGCUGGUUCUGGAGGGUGACUCAGAGUGACAGCUAGUGUGUUCCCCCCACCCCACUGGCUCUGCUUCCAAAUACUGUCUCAAUUUGUGUUCUUGCAUGUGAAGUACUCCACAAUAAAUAGUUGAACCAGC